rnacentral:rRNA from 1 species
AAUGUCUGGGAAACUGCCUGAUGGAGGGGGAUAACUACUGGAAACGGUAGCUAAUACCGCAUAACCUCGCAAGAGCAAAGAGGGGGACCUUCGGGCCUCUCGCCAUCAGAUGUGCCCAGAGGGAUUAGCUAGUAGGUGAGGUAAUGGCUCACCUAGGCGACGAUCCCUAGCUGGUCUGAGAGGAUGACCAGCCACACUGGAACUGAGACACGGUCCAGACUCCUACGGGAGGCAGCAGUGGGGAAUAUUGCACAAUGGGCGCAAGCCUGAUGCAGCCAUGCCGCGUGUGUGAAGAAGGCCUCGGGUUGUAAAGCACUUUCAGCGGGGAGGAAGGCGGUGAGGUUAAUAACCUUAUCGAUUGACGUUACCCGCAGAAGAAGCACCGGCUAACUCCGUGCCAGCAGCCGCGGUAAUACGGAGGGUGCAAGCGUUAAUCGGAAUGACUGGGCGUAAAGCGCACGCAGGCGGUCUGUUAAGUUGAUGUGAAAUCCCCGGGCUUAACCUGGGAACUGCAUUCAAAACUGACAGGCUAGAGUCUUGUAGAGGGGGGUAGAAUUCCAGGUGUAGCGGUGAAAUGCGUAGAGAUCUGGAGGAAUACCGGUGGCGAAGGCGGCCCCCUGGACAAAGACUGACGCUCAGGUGCGAAAGCGUGGGGAGCAACAGGAUUAGAUACCCUGGUAGUCCACGCUGUAAACGAUGUCGAUUUGGAGGUUGUGCCCUUGAGGCGUGGCUUCCGGAGCUAACGCGUUAAAUCGACCGCCUGGGGAGUACGGCCGCAAGGUUAAAACUCAAAUGAAUUGACGGGGGCCCGCACAAGCGGUGGAGCAUGUGGUUUAAUUCAUGCAACGCGAAGAACCUUACCUACUCUUGACAUCCACAGAAUUUGGUAGAGAUACCUUAGUGCCUUCGGGAACUGUGAGACAGGUGCUGCAUGGCUGUCGUCAGCUCGUGUUGUGAAAUGUUGGGUUAAGUCCCGCAACGAGCGCAACCCUUAUCCUUUGUUGCCAGCGAUUCGGUCGGAACUCAAAGGAGACUGCCGGUGAUAAACCGGAGGAAGGUGGGGAUGACGUCAAGUCAUCAUGGCCCUUACGAGUAGGGCUACACACGUGCUACAAUGGCGUAUACAAAGAGAAGCGACCUCGCGAGAGCAAGCGGACCUCAUAAAGUACGUCGUAGUCCGGAUUGGAGUCUGCAACUCGACUCCAUGAAGUCGGAAUCGCUAGUAAUCGUAGAUCAGAAUGCUACGGUGAAUACGUUCCCGGGCCUUGUACACACCGCCCGUCACACCAUGGGAGUGGGUUGCAAAAGAAGU